GAUGAACGCUGGCGGCGUGCCUAAUACAUGCAAGUCGAGCGAACAGACGAGGAGCUUGCUCCUCUGACGUUAGCGGCGGACGGGUGAGUAACACGUGGAUAACCUACCUAUAAGACUGGGAUAACUUCGGGAAACCGGAGCUAAUACCGGAUAAUAUAUUGAACCGCAUGGUUCAAUAGUGAAAGACGGUUUUGCUGUCACUUAUAGAUGGAUCCGCGCCGCAUUAGCUAGUUGGUAAGGUAACGGCUUACCAAGGCAACGAUGCGUAGCCGUCCUGAGAGGGUGAUCGGCCACACUGGAACUGGGACACGGUCCAGACUCCUACGGGAGGCAGCAGUAGGGAAUCUUCCGCAAUGGGCGAAAGCCUGACGGAGCAACGCCGCGUGAGUGAUGAAGGUCUUCGGAUCGUAAAACUCUGUUAUUAGGGAAGAACAAAUGUGUAAGUAACUAUGCACGUCUUGACGGUACCUAAUCAGAAAGCCACGGCUAACUACGUG
rnacentral:rRNA from 1 species